CAGUAGCCGCGGUAAUACGUAGGGUGCGAGCGUUAAUCGGAAUUACUGGGCGUAAAGCGUGCGCAGGCGGUUAUGUAAGACAGUUGUGAAAUCCCCGGGCUCAACCUGGGAACUGCAUUUGAAACUGGCAAGCUAGAGUCUUGUAGAGGGGGGUAGAAUUCCAGGCGUAGCGGUGAAAUGCGUAGAGAUCUGGAGGAAUACCGGUGGCGAAGGCGGCCCCCUGGACAAAGACUGACGCUCAGGUGCGAAAGCGUGGGGAGCAAACAGGAUUAGAUACCCUGUAGUCCCUGUCUCUUAUACA
rnacentral:rRNA from 1 species